CGGACCGGCGCACGGGUGAGUAACACGUAUGCAAUCCACCUGUAACAGGGGGGAUAACCCGGAGAAAUCCGGACUAAUACCCCAUAAUAUGGGCUCUCCGCAUGGAGGGUCCAUUAAAGAGAGCAAUUUUGGUUACAGACGAGCAUGCGCUCCAUUAGCCAGUUGGCGGGGUAACGGCCCACCAAAGCGACGAUGGAUAGGGGUUCUGAGAGGAAGGUCCCCCACAUUGGAACUGAGACACGGUCCAA
rnacentral:rRNA from 1 species